UACGUAGGGGGCGAGCGUUGUCCGAAGUUACUGGGCGUAAAGCGCGCGUAGGCUGGUCGUUAAGUCUGCUGUGAAAGCCCGGGGCUCAACCCCGGAGGGUCGGUGGAUACUGGCGGCCUUGAAGGUGCUAGGGGGGAAUGGAAUUACCGGUGUAGCGGUGAAAUGCGUAGAGAUCAGGAAGAACACCGGUGGCGAAGGCGCUCUGCCAGGCCGUAACUGACACUGAGGGACGAAAGCUAGGGGAGCGAAUGGG
rnacentral:rRNA from 1 species